CUCUGUUGGCUGGAGUUGUCCUCACAGGCUUCCUCUUCAGGAUGAACAAGAGACGCUGCACAAUGGUCCAGAACUCACUGUUUGACCUCUUUGACUGCAAAACAGGUGACACACAACAUGGAGCUGAAUCAGACCUUUCCUUUGACAACAGGCUGUACGAAAUCGACGCCAGUGUGGGUUCAUCUGACACUUAGACCAGAUUCAUGAUUAUAAUAAAACAAAUCCACCAUAAAGUAUGUAAAUUAUUCCUGUGAACUUCUGAUUCCACUAAAACCAUGUACAAGAUGAAACCGUCAAGUGGUUU